rnacentral:rRNA from 1 species
CUUACACAUGCAAGUCGAACGGCAGCAUGAUCUAGCUUGCUAGAUUGAUGGCGAGUGGCGAACGGGUGAGUAAUACAUCGGAACGUGCCCUGUAGUGGGGGAUAACUAGUCGAAAGAUUAGCUAAUACCGCAUACGACCUGAGGGUGAAAGUGGGGGACCGCAAGGCCUCAUGCUAUAGGAGCGGCCGAUGUCUGAUUAGCUAGUUGGUGAGGUAAAGGCUCACCAAGGCGACGAUCAGUAGCUGGUCUGAGAGGACGAUCAGCCACACUGGGACUGAGACACGGCCCAGACUCCUACGGGAGGCAGCAGUGGGGAAUUUUGGACAAUGGGCGAAAGCCUGAUCCAGCAAUGCCGCGUGUGUGAAGAAGGCCUUCGGGUUGUAAAGCACUUUUGUCCGGAAAGAAAUGGCUCUGGUUAAUACCUGGGGUCGAUGAUGGUACCGGAAGAAUAAGGACCGGCUAACUACGUGCCAGCAGCCGCGGUAAUACGUAGGGUCCAAGCGUUAAUCGGAAUUACUGGGCGUAAAGCGUGCGCAGGCGGUUGUGCAAGACCGAUGUGAAAUCCCCGAGCUUAACUUGGGAAUUGCAUUGGUGACUGCACGGCUAGAGUGUGUCAGAGGGGGGUAGAA